rfam:Clostridiales bacterium 1_7_47_FAA supercont2.4 genomic scaffold, whole genome shotgun sequence.
UCAUAGAGUAGAGGUUGCGUCAAUCAAGAGUAACCAGGCCCGAUGUGGCAGGCACAGAGGACGGCUUGGGGAAAGGGAAAGACGCCGAAGGGGGAAGCAUACCUGGAACAUGUUUCUUUCUGGGCAUAUGGUGAACAUCCAUAUGACUGUCAUCCGGGUGGAUGGAGAGCUACCGAAGAA